rnacentral:rRNA from 1 species
AGGACGAACGCUGGCGGCGCGCUUAACACAUGCAAGUCGAGCGAGAACCAGGGCUUCGGCUCUGGGGACAGCGGCGAACGGGUGAGUAACACGUGGGUAAUCAACCCUCGACAUCGGGAUAGCCCGGGGAAACCCGGAUUAAUACCGAAUGCUCCGUCUGGCCUUCGGGCCGGCCGGAAAAGGUAGCUUCGGCCUCCGGUCGGGGACGAGCCCGCGGCGGAUUAGCUUGUUGGUGGGGUAAAGGCCCACCAAGGCGACGAUCCGUAGCUGGUCUGAGAGGACGAUCAGCCACACUGGGACUGAGACACGGCCCAGACUCCUACGGGAGGCAGCAGUGGGGAAUCUUGCGCAAUGGGCGAAAGCCUGACGCAGCGACGCCGCGUGAGGGAAGAAGGCCUUCGGGUUGUAAACCUCUUUCAGGAGGGACGAAGCCACUCGGGUUAAUAGCCCAGAGGGUGACGGUACCUCCAGAAGAAGCCCCGGCUAACUACGUGCCAGCAGCCGCGGUAA